rnacentral:rRNA from 1 species
CCUACGGGGCGCAGCAGUGAGGAAUAUUGGUCAAUGGACGAGAGCCUGAACCAGCCAAGUCGCGUGAAGGAUGACUGCCCUAUGGGUUGUAAACUUCUUUUAUAUGGGAAUAAAAUGUUCCACGUGUGGGAUUUUGUAUGUACCAUAUGAAUAAGGAUCGGCCAACUUCGUGCCAGCAGCCGAGGUAAGACGGAGGAUCCGAGCGUUACCCGGAUUUAUUGGGUUUAAAGGGAGCGUAGGUGGAUUGUUAAGUCAAUUGUGAAAGUUUGCGGCUCAACCGUAAAAUUGCAGUUGAAACUGGCAGUCGUGAGUACAGUAGAGGUGGGCGGAAUUCGUGGUGUAGCGGUGAAAUGCUUAGAUAUCACGAAGAACUCCGAUUGCGAAGGCAGCUCACUGGACUGCAACUGACACUGAGGCUCGAAAGUGUGGGUAUCAAACAGGAUUAGAUACCCGGGUAGUC